UACGAAGGGUGCAAGCGUUACUCGGAAUUACUGGGCGUAAAGCGUGCGUAGGUGGUUCGUUAAGUCCGAUGUGAAAGCCCUGGGCUCAACCUGGGAAUGGCAUUGGAUACUGGCGGGCUAGAGUGCGGUAGAGGGCAGUGGAAUUCCCGGUGUAGCAGUGAAAUGCGUAGAUAUCUGGAGGAACACCGGUGGCGAAGGCGGCAUCCUGGACCAAUACUGACGCUGAGGCGCGAAAGCGUGGGGAGCAAACAGG
rnacentral:rRNA from 1 species